AUCAAUGUGUUCUGAAGGUUUUUUUUCAAACUUUGAGCGAUUGAGCAAUAUAUGCUUUACUGUGGAGACGAGGAUAUGACACGAAACGACUGACAACCGUGAAUAACAAUGGCGGACGACGUAAACAAGAUUUAGGUGUCGCUAGAAAACCAAUUGAUGAGCCGUCUACAGUCAGUGUAAAACUUGGAAUGAAAUAAACCUACCAAGAACUGCAAUCUCUUUGAAAGAGCUUAAGAGUCCCCCUGUUCCCAUCGGGUCUACCUUCAAUGACUAUGUGACACAGACGUAUCAGUUCUUAUAGGAAGGGAUUACUCAAAUACAUAUUGACUGCUGUGAAGUUUUGCGUUUUCAAAACAGACGGAAAGUGAAACAGUGAUGUUUAAUGAAACCUCAAUUUUCUCUAUAUUCACUUGUACAUAGUACGCUAUAUAAUUAUCAUUCAGUCUGUAAAAAUGGCAGAGGUGAUCGACAAUUUUCGCUGCAAGGAUGCAACAAUCAACCUUGUUCACUCAGGCAAUAUUGGAUACUCAUCUUUGGUGGCCACAAAAUUUUCUACAUGAUAAAACAAUAUAGACAAUAAAUCACAAUAUAUUAGGAA